GAUGCUAAAGUCAGCUGAGGGUGGUAUAACUUGGUUUGUGGAGUCCUUUGAUCACACUUCCUCAUUGUCAGAGUGGCACAAACUCCAGUAAAGCCAAUGGGGCUACUUCCAUGAGAAAAAACAGAUAAGAGAACCACACCAGAUAUGUUCCACAGAGUAAUAGAACCGUCAAUUAAUAUGAAGAAUCUCAUGAGUGCUGAAGACAGAAUUUACUCCUGACUUGGUGCUAGCCUAUGGAAUUCACUCCUGUAAGCAAUUAAAACAGAACAAAAACCCUCUGCAUACCUCAACACUGUCUGACUAAAUGCAAAUUUAAUCACUUGAUUUAGCUUUCCCUCAAUAAUUUAGUCAUACACAUCCUUAUACAAAACAUCCACACACUCACAGACAUAAACAUAAACAAAUGGAUGAAAGAAAGCUGAUGUAUGAAUUGAGCUAUUUCUCCUGAAGACUGGGAAAGAAGAAAGCAAGAGAGAAAUUGUAAUUGAUAUGUCUACUUUUAAGUAGCAAGGAAGCACUCAGAUCCUAUCACAAUAGGGGGUCAUAUAAAUAUAUGAAAUGAGAUGAGGUGGAUGAAAGCAUAUAUGUGCACAAAAAAC